rfam:Salmo salar isolate Sally breed double haploid chromosome ssa24, whole genome shotgun sequence.
UGCAUUCACUACUGUAAGUUGCUCUGGAUAAGAGUGUCUGCUUAAUGACUAAAA